rnacentral:rRNA from 1 species
ACAGGUAGAUGAGGAGAGAAUCCUAAGGUGAGCGAGAGAACUCUCGUUAAGGAACUCGGCAAAAUGACCCCGUAACUUCGGGAGAAGGGGUGCUCUAUUAGGGUGCAAGCCCGAGAGAGCCGCAGUGAAUAGGCCCAGGCGACUGUUUAGCAAAAACACAGGUCUCUGCAAAACCGUAAGGUGACGUAUAGGGGCUGACGCCUGCCCGGUGCUGGAAGGUUAAGAGGAGUGCUUAGCUUCGGCGAAGGUACGAAUUGAAGCCCCAGUAAACGGCGGCCGUAACUAUAACGGUCCUAAGGUAGCGAAAUUCCUUGUCGGGUAAGUUCCGACCCGCACGAAAGGCGCAACGAUCUGGGCACUGUCUCAACGAGAGACUCGGUGAAAUUAUAGUACCUGUGAAGAUGCAGGUUACCCGCGACAGGACGGAAAGACCCCGUGGAGCUUUACUGCAACCUGAUAUGGAAUGUUUGUACCGCUUGUACAGGAUAGGUAGGAGCCGAAGAGACGUGUGCGCUAGCAUACGAGGAGGCAAUGGUGGGAUACUACCCUGGCUGUAUGACCAUUCUAACCCGCCACGCUUAGCGCGUGGGGAGACAGUGUCAGGUGGGCAGUUUGACUGGGGCGGUCGCCUCCUAAAGAGUAACGGAGGCGCCCAAAGGUUCCCUC